rnacentral:lncRNA from 1 species
UCUCCUCUUCCUCCUUUUUUCUUUUUGCAUAUAGGAUAAAACAACGGUCCCCCAAAAUAACUCUAAAAGCAUGAACCAAACAUCAUGAACCAAACAUCAUGGUUUUUUUUUUUUUUUUUUUCUGACUCUGGCACAUGACUGUAGUUUGGUAUGCUGGCGCAUACCAGCACACAUUUAUUCAUUCAUACAAUAAGUAUCUGUACGUGCCCUGGGGGCGCUGUGGUGUGCUGACCAUGUCUUUCCUUCAGACCGCACCUGCUCAUACUCCCAGAUGUUGAAACUGUUGGCAGAUGAUGGUUCUCAAGUGAAUCUUUCUCUAGAAACUGCCUCCAGCCAGAGAGCUGCUUUGCUCAAGAUCUUACCCAUUCCUAGAGGAAAGCCCGCAUUAACGACUGGCCAAUGAUUUGGUUAAAAUCCACCCAUUUGCCUCAAGGUGGGACAACUCUGAAGAAUUAAUCCAAUUUUAGAAUUCCCCAUAAGACAGGCUAAGGCCAUUAUUAUAAUUGCAUUGCAAUUCAACUACUCUCUUAGCCCCUUCCUUUGACCACAGCUGUGAUCAUUCCCAAUAAACUUCUUGCACACAAAUUCCUAUCUCAGACUUUGUUUCUUAUGGAGCUCAAACUAAGUUUCCUGCCAUGUGCCUGGCAUAGAGGGUAUAAUGAUUCUGAAGAGACCACAUAGGUGCAGAGAUAAAAGUUAAAACAGGAGCAACAUUUAAAGGGUAUGUGAAGGCAGAUAACCGUGUGUGUGUACUGUGUGUGAAUGAUAGAUAUAUUGCUAGCUUCGAGAAGUAGAUUGGUAAAAUCCAAGAAGUUUCAUGAAGGCAUAACAUAAUCUUUUGAAGCCAUUGGGAUAGUAUAUUUCUAUCUCUUUAAGAACAAGAGAGAUAUGCUUUGAGGAUUGGCAACAUUUUCUGUCCGCAGACACGGGUGCAGUCUUAGUUAUCGCUCUAUUGAGGAUUUGCU